rnacentral:rRNA from 1 species
AUGGAGCAAGAGAGCGACCGGACAAAAAUGCUGCCCGACGACGUGCUCGCGGGUGUCCUCACCCGCCUCGCUCCACGCAGCCUCGCCACGUCCCAGUGCGUUUGCAAGACGUGGCGGGGCAUCAUCGACGACCACCGCGCGUUGCGCAACAUCUUCCUCCCGAACUCAUUGGCUGGUAUCUUCAUCAACUUCAACGAGCUAACGUAUGCGGAAUUCUUCUCCCGCCCAUCGCCCAUCAAGGUUGUUGGGGGCGGCGAAAGGCUCGCCAACCGUGUGGAGGAUCACUGCAACGGUCUUCUCUUGCUUUACGAUGCGGUGGCUAACCCAAUUAGAGGAUGGGAGGCACCCUUGCCACCGCGGCCGCCCCAAAGCCUAUGGGCGGAGUGCUUCUUCGAGGAUUCCUAUCUUGUGUUUGAUCCUACGGUGUCAUCGGACUAUCAUGUGUUCUUGAUACCUCGUAUUCCGUAUAUCGAGCUUGACAUAGAGCCAUUUGAAGACCCCGUGGUUGAGAUUGACCCCGUGGUGUUAGAAUCGGAAUGGCCACCUACUUCAUGGACCCUGCUGGUCUUCUCGUCGUUGAAUGGGUUGUCAUUAUCAGAUAACACAUAUCAUGUCAUUAAACCACCAAAAAGUCUUGAAUCCGAGAGUUUCCCGAAUUGUUAUCUUGGGAAUUCGAAGAAAGGGGUGUAUUAUGCCUUGCUACUUGAAAAUGGAUGCAAGUUGCAGGUGUGGGUCCUUAAUGAAUCACAUGGACAUAAGGAGUGGAUCCUAGAGAAGCAUGAUAGGGACCUCAAGUUACCUUUGCCAUGUCUAAACAAUGGUCCAUGGAUUCUAGAAGAUGUUAACUACAAUGAAGAAAAGUACAUUCAGCAUUACGAUGAAACCAACGCAGUAGAAGAGGAUUUUGAAUGGAACUCUGAUAACGAUGUCUUAGAUACAGAAGAUACGAUCAACAAGGGUGGCUAUGAUUCAAUUCUUGGAUUUCAUCCUUUCAAAGAGAUCGUCUUUCUGAGCAGAAAAUUGGACAGAAAUUUGAGCAGGGGAUUGGCAUACCAUUUGAAUACCUCGAAGAUUGAAGACUUGGGUAACUUAUGCCCAAAGGAUUACGAUGAUAUUACUGGCCAACGUGGACGUAUUGAAGCAUCUUUUAUGUACACACCUUGUUGGGUGAAAUAG